GAGGACAUAAGUUUAUUUUGAAUAUAAUUUUGGAGGCAGAUUUUGUCACAUACUGCAAAUUUGCAGACAGUCUUUUAAAAAAAAAAAAAAAAAAAAAAAAGCCUUUUUCCAUAGGAUAAUGCCUGUUUCUGUCAAAGUUUUGCAGGUAAAGAAAAAUUGAGAGCAAGAGAAAGGAGGGGGUACCCAUUCUGCUACCACUGCAACUGAAUAAUACAUGUCCAUUUGACAAGCAACGCUCACAGAUCAUCUUACAGAACAGAAUAUGAUUAAGAUAGGAAUAUUACUUGUAAGGAAGACAGAUCACACCUUCAUUCAGAAGGUGUUCGGUAGGGGCCAGGAGGAAAGAAAGAGUUUAACAUCAGUUGUUCCACCUCUGUCUGAAGAUUUCAAGGAAAUCAAGUUAGUAUUUCUGAUUUGCUCAUUGAUUCUAAAUAGCUCAGCAUUUUCAAGCAAUUUUAUAUCACUUGUAAAGUCAAGAAAAUCUGUUCUUUACAGAAUUUGGAUGGGCUUGUAUGUUUAGCUUCUAAUUAGAGCUACAGAUUUAAUUUCAAUCACAUUCUGGUAUUGAUUAUUUUCUACAGAGAAUGAAGAGGUACUACUUCUUCCUGAGGAGUACCUCAGGAAGGAAAAGGAUUACUUCUGUUCUGCAGCUGUGCCAAAGUGUACUGUAGAAUUUUUAAUGUUUAAAUGAAAAAUAAUGGUUCCUUCCUGAGAUUCCUUAAUCCGCUUGAAAGGUGGGAAGGUUCCCCUUCAGAUUUAUCUGAGACUGUCAAUGAUGUUGUAGCACUGGGUUAGAACUUUUAUUAAAUACUUGUCACAGCAGCAGUUACUUGCCAAAGGACAUUAUUUAAUAUGAGUUUCCAGAGGAUUCACAGAAAUGUUAAGUCAGAAUGAUUCUGAACAAGUUAUCUAGUCUAUCAGAACCAGAGGAUAGAAUGAUCAGCUACAUUUAGAUAAUUUGAGACACAUAUAAUUUUCCUGAUCUGCAAAAACACCAACAAACCAAAUAUAGUUGUGGUUGGUGUGUUUUGUUUUGUUUUCUGUGUAGCAUAUUCCAAGGUUUACCUAUUCUCAAAAUUAACAAGUUUUCCCUAAAGUCUAACACUGAUGCAAAUAAAGCUGAGUAGAUGUCUUAAUAAGGUAGAUGC
rnacentral:lncRNA from 1 species